AACGCGAAGAACCUUACCUAAGCUUGACAUCCUUUUGACCUCUCCCUAAUCGGAGAUUUCCCUUCGGGGACAAAAGUGACAGGUGGUGCAUGGUUGUCGUCAGCUCGUGUCGUGAGAUGUUGGGUUAAGUCCCGCAACGAGCGCAACCCUUGUCCUUAGUUGCCAGCACGUAAAGGUGGGGACUUUAAGGAGACUGCCGGUGAUAAACCGGAGGAAGGUGGGGAUGACGUCAAAUCAUCAUGCCCCUUAUGAGUUGGGCUACACACAUACUACAAUGGCUGGUACAAAGAGAAGCGAACCUGCGAGGGUAAGCGGACCUCAUAAAGCCAGUCUAAGUUCGGAUCGCAGUCUGCAACUCGACUGCGUGAAGUCGGAUUCGCUAGUAAUCGCAGAUCAGAAUGCUGCGGUGAAUACGUUCCCGGGUCUUGUACACACCG
rnacentral:rRNA from 1 species